rnacentral:lncRNA from 1 species
CUCCCCAGAAACAGGUCCAUAAGCGCAUGUAAAACACUAAGCUCUGGGAGGGCAGGGGGAGUCUCAGCACUCACUUGGAAGGUGAGCACAGACUUGGCCUAGAUGGGUUCACUGGAUCUUCUGGAGGUGGAAAACACUUAUUUUAGCAGGUGGUAACGAUAUCUCCACUUCAAGAUAAGAAACCUCCAGUUCGCACAGCGGGAAAGCUUUGGGGUAGGAGCUGACCCCAGGAGGCGAGAGCUGCAUGAUGGAGGUUGCUGUGCGUGCAGUCUAGUGACUACAGGGCAAGAGCUGCUCACACCUGCUGCGCUGCCUCCAACUCUCGGGUCAAAGGCUUCGAUUCUCUCCUUCCCCAUCUAACGGAGGCGGGGGGCGGGGCGGGGGAGAGUGUUAAAAACAACGAGGUUUUGAGGUUUUUAAAUUUUUGCCUUUUGUUUUAGUUCUCUGGCUCAAGAGUAAACAGUUGGUAAGUUAUGGGCAGGAAUCUAAAAAGUAUUUGACAGGAUUCUCACUUUCAAAAGAUGCUAUUCAGAGACUUAUUCUUUUACUUAUAACAGAU